rnacentral:rRNA from 1 species
UCCUACGGGGCGCAGCAGUGGGGAAUAUUGGGCAAUGGGCGCAAGCCUGACCCAGCGACGCCGCGUGAGGGAAGACGGUCUUCGGAUUGUAAACCUCUUUCAGCAGGGAAGACAAAAGGACGGUACCUGCAGAAGAAGCCACGGCUAACUACGUGCCAGCAGCCGCGGUAAUACGUAGGUGGCAAGCGUUAUCCGGAAUUAUUGGGCGUAAAGAGCGCGCAGGUGGUUAAUUAAGUCUGAUGUGAAAGCCCACGGCUUAACCGUGGAGGGUCAUUGGAAACUGGUUGACUUGAGUGCAGAAGAGG